CACGUAGGGGGCAAGCGUUGUCCGGAUUUAUUGGGCGUAAAGAGCUCGUAGGCGGCUCAGUAAGUCAGGUGUGAAACCUCCAGGCUCAACCUGGAGACGCCACCUGAUACUGCUGUGGCUAGAGUCCGGUAGGGGAGCGUGGAAUUCCCGGUGUAGCGGUGAAAUGCGCAGAUAUCGGGAAGAACACCCGUGGCGAAGGCGGCUCUCUGGGACGGUACUGACGCUGAGACGCGAAAGCGUGGGGAGCGAACAGG
rnacentral:rRNA from 1 species